AACUGCACGGGGUGGGCAAUGUUAGGUGCGCUGAAGUAGCGAUGUGUCUCUUUGGGGCUUUGCAGUUAGAGUCAUGAACAACCCCUGUUUGGGUCUUGCAGGUGGUGGUCGAGCUUGAACAUGGCAGUUGGAUCUGAUGGCGUCCAGGUAGGUGAGCUGGUGAGGAAAAGGUGCGAGUCUUAAACGGGGAUUGGUGUGGGUAGCUUGUCAGUUCUGCAGCCUCUCAGCAGGUGCCUUUCUGCUUGGAUUUUUGCAGGUGCCGCAAUCAGCCUUCAGAGGGGAGACGACGCAUGGCUACGAGGGGUCUCAGAAGAUGGUGUGCGGCUGCCCUUGGGACUGGAUGUGCGUUUGAGGGGCCACAAGGGAGGACAACAGUGUGAGUUGGGCACGGCCACAGAGCAAGUGAGCAGAGCAGCUGGGCGCAUCUGAGGUAGACGGAUGCAGCGGCCUAGGUCUUUGUAGAGCGAUGGGAUGCUGACUGACAGGGCUGUUGUGUGGGGCUUGUGAUUGUUUUUGUUUUUCAGAUGACGAAGAGGCAGCUGGUGACUGGAGGAGUGACGUGUGCUUGUCCUUCAGAAGGAAGGGAAGAGGGAGACUCUCGGCCCCUUGAAAGCUAAGUUGAGGCAACGGUGCUGGG